rnacentral:rRNA from 1 species
AGUUUGAUCCUGACUCAGAGUGAACGCUGGCGGCGUGGAUAAGGCAUGCAAGUCGAGCGAUUCUCUUUUUGGAAAUAAACUUGAGUUCUUCGGAACAAUAGUUUAUGGAAGAAUUUUGGAUAGCGGCAAACGGGUGAGUAACGCGUGAAUAAUCUACCCUUAGGAAAGGAAUAGCCCAGAGAAAUUUGGAGUAAUCCCUUAUAGUAUUCUAGUAUCAAGUUAUUAGAAUUAAAGAUGGCCUAUACUUGUAAGCUGUCGCCUAAGGAUGAGUUCGCGUCCUAUCAGCUUGUUGGUAGGGUAACGGCCUACCAAGGCUAAGACGGGUAGCUGGUCUGAGAGGAUGGUCAGCCACACUGGGACUGAGACACUGCCCAGACUCCUACGGGAGGCUGCAGUCAGAAUAUUUUGCAAUGGGCGAAAGCCUGACAAUGCGACGCCGCGUGAGGGAUGAAGGCCUUCGGGUUGUAAACCUCUUUCACCUGGAAAGAAAGUUCAAAGCUUAAUAGGUUUUGAAUCUGACGGUACCAGGAGAAGAAGCCACGGCCAACUCCGUGCCAGCAGCCGCGGUAAUACGGAGGUGGCAAGCGUUACUCGGAAUUACUGGGUGUAAAGGGCACGUAGGCGGUCUACUAAGUGUGAGGUGAAAGUCUUGGGCUCAACUCAAGAAUUGCCUCACAAACUGGAAGACUUGAGGUCGGUAGGGGAGAGUGGAAUUGCCGGUGUAAGGGUGAAAUCUGUAGAUAUCGGCAGGAACACCGUUAGCGAAGGCGACUCUCUAGGCCGAACCUGACGCUGAGGUGCGAAAGCUAGGGGAGCAAACAGGAUUAGAUACCCUGGUAGUCCUAGCUGUAAACGAUGCGCACUGGAUGUUUCUGUGUAACAACGGGGAUGUCGAAGCUAACGCGUUAAGUGCGCCACCUGAGGACUACGGCCGCAAGGCUAAAACCCAAGGGAAUUGACGGGGGCCCGCACAAGCGGUGGAACAUGUGGUUUAAUUCGAUGAUACGCGAGGAACCUUACCAGGGCUUGACAUGUUAGAAGUAGCAUUGAUGAAAGUCGAUGCGACCGGUAUCCAGUCCGGUACUAUCACAGGUGCUGCAUGGCUGUCGUCAGCUCGUGCCGUGAGGUGUCGGGUUAAGUCCUCCAACGAGCGCAACCCUCGCGCUUAGUUACCAUCAGGUUUCUUCGGAAAUGCUGGGGACUCUAGGGUACUGCCUCGGUUAACGAGGAGGAAGGUGGGGAUGACGUCAAGUCAGCAUGGCCCUUAUGUCCUGGGCGACACACGUGUUACAAUGGUUGGUACAGUGGGUUGCUAAGCCGCGAGGUGGAGCUAAUCCUCAAAACCAGCCCCAGUUCGGAUCGGAGUCUGCAAUUCGACUCCGUGAAGCCGGAAUCGCUAGUAACGGCGCAUCAGCCAUGGUGCCGUGAAUACGUUCCCGGGCCUUGUACACACCGCCCGUCAAGCGAUGAAAAUCGGGGGUGCCCGAAGUCCCGCUCGAUAAAGAAAAGGCCGAAGGCAAACUCGGUGAUUGGCGCUAAGUCGAAACAAGGUA